GCCUGGGUGGCUCAGUCGGUUAAGCGGCUGACUUCAGCUCAGGUCAUUAUCUCAACGGUUUGUGGGUUCAAAUCCCACAUCGGGCU
rnacentral:tRNA from 1 species